rnacentral:rRNA from 1 species
CAGUAGCCGCGGGAAUACGAAGGGGGCUAGCGUUGCUCGGAAUGACUGGGCGUAAAGGGCGCGUAGGCGGCUUGUACAGUCAGAUGUGAAAUUCCUGGGCUUAACCUGGGGGCUGCAUUUGAUACGUGCGGGCUAGAAUGUGAAAGAGGGUCGUGGAAUUCCCAGUGUAGAGGUGAAAUUCGUAGAUAUCGGAAGGAACACCUGUGGCGAAAGCGGCUCACUGGACCAUUACUGACGCUGAGGCGCGAAAGCUAGGGGAGCAAACAGGAUUAGAUACCCCCGUAGUCCCUGUCUCUUAUAA